rnacentral:rRNA from 1 species
AGUCGUAACAAGGUAACCAUAGAGUUUGAUCCUGGCUCAGGAAGUCGUAACAAGGUAACCAUAGAGUUUGAACUGGGAUAACUCCGGGAAACCGGGGCUAAUACCGGAUAACAUUUUGAACCGCAUGGUUCGAAAUUGAAAGGCGGCUUCGGCUGUCACUUAUGGAUGGACCCGCGUCGCAUUAGCUAGUUGGUGAGGUAACGGCUCACCAAGGCAACGAUGCGUAGCCGACCUGAGAGGGUGAUCGGCCACACUGGGACUGAGACACGGCCCAAACUCCUACGGGAGGCAGCAGUAGGGAAUCUUCCGCAAUGGACGAAAGUCUGACGGAGCAACGCCGCGUGAGUGAUGAAGGCUUUCGGGUCGUAAAACUCUGUUGUUAGGGAAGAACAAGUGCUAGUUGAAUAAAGCUGGCACCUUGACGGUACCUAACCAGAAAAGCCACGGCUAACUACGUGCCAGCAGCCGCGGUAAUACGUANGGNUGGCAAGCGUUAUNCCGGAAUUAUUUGGGCGUAAAGCGCGCGCAGGUGGUUUNCUUUAAGUCUGAUGUGAAAGCCCACGGCUCAACCGUGGAGGGUCAUUGGAAACUGGGAGACUUGAUUGCAGAAGAGGAAAGUGGAAUUNCCAUGUGUANGCGGNUGAAANUGCGUAGAGAUNAUGNGAGGAACACCAGUGGCGNAAGGCGACUUUNCUGGUNCUGUAACUGNACACUGANGGCGCGAAAGCGUGGGGNAGCAAACAGGAUUAGAUACCCUNGGUAGUCCACGCCGNUAAANCGNANUGAGUGCUNAAGUGNUUAGAGGGUUUCCGCCCNUUUAGUGNCUGANAGUUAACNGCAUUAAGNCACNUCCGNCCNUNGGGGNANGUACGGCCGCAAGGCUGAAACUCAAAGGAAUUGACGGGGGCCCGCACAAGCGGUGGAGCAUGUGGUUUAAUUCGAAGCAACGCGAAGAACCUUACCAGGUCUUGACAUCCUCUGAAAACCCUARAGAUAGGGCUUCUCCUUCGGGAGCAGAGUGACAGGUGGUGCAUGGUUGUCGUCAGCUCGUGUCGUGAGAUGUUGGGUUUAAGUCCCGCAACGAGCGCAACCCUUGAUCUUAGUUGCCAUCAUUAAGUUGGGCACUCUAAGGUGACUGCCGGUGACAAACCGGAGGAAGGUGGGGAUGACGUCAAAUCAUCAUGCCCCUUAUGACCUGGGCUACA